AUGAAUAAUAAUGGGAAAUAUCAACAUAAGUCUUGAAAAUUACUUUAUUCUACUGGGUCUUUCUAAUUGACCUCCUCUGGAAAUAGUUAUUUUUGUAGUUCUCUUGAUAUUCUGCUUCAUGACACUGAUAGGCAAGCUGUUCAGCAUCAUUCUGUCAUACCUGGACUCCCAUCCCCACACUCUCGGUACUUAUUCUCUUUUCUGGAUUUCUGCUACACCAUCAGUUCCAUCUUUUAAUUACAGUACAAUCUCUGGGGCCCACAGAAGAACAUCUCUUAUGCCAGUGGUAUGAUUCAAAUUUAUUUUGUUCUCACACUGGGAACCAUGGAUUGCGCUCUACUGGUGGUGAUGUCCAGGACUGUGAUGCAGCUGGACACAGACACUUGCCUUAUACUGUUGUUAUGGCUGUGGCUUUUUGGGUAAGUAGCUUUACCAACUCAGCAUUUGAUUCCUUUUUUACCUUCUGGGUAACCCUGUGUGGACAUCACUAUUAUGCUUACAUCUUUA
rnacentral:lncRNA from 1 species